AUACGUAAUGUGAAUUGCAGAAUUCAGCGAACCAUCGAAUCUUUGAACGCACAUUGCGCCCGCCAGCAUUCUGGCGGGCAUGCCUGUCCGAGCGUCAUUUCCCCCCUCACGCGCCCCGUUGCGCGCUGGUGUUGGGGCGCCCUCCGCCUGGCGGGGGGCCCCCGAAAGCGAGUGGCGGGCCCUGUGGAUGGCUCCGAGCGCAGUACCGAACGCAUGUUCUCCCCUCGCUCCGGACGCCCCCCAGGCGCCCUGCCGUGAAAACGCGCAUGACGCGCAGCUCUUUUUACAAGGUU
rnacentral:misc_RNA from 1 species